GCACAAGCGGUGGAGCAUGUGGUUUAAUUCGACGCAACGCGAAAAACCUUACCUGGGUUUGACAUGCCGAGUACCGAUGGAAACAUUGGGGUGCCCCGUAAGGGAACUUGGACACAGGUGCUGCAUGGCUGUCGUCAGCUCGUGCCGUGAGGUGUUGGGUUAAGUCCCGCAACGAGCGCAACCCUCACCCUUAGUUGCCAUCAUUAAGUUGGGCACCCUAAGGGAACUGCCGCAGUUAAUGCGGAGGAAGGUGGGGAUGACGUCAAGUCCUCAUGGCCCUUAUAUCCAGGGCUACACACGUGCUACAAUGGACGGUACAAAGGGUCGCGAACCUGCAAAGGGGAGCUAACCCCAGAAAACCGCUCUCAGUUCGGAUUGGAGUCUGCAACUCGACUCCAUGAAGUUGGAAUCGCUAGUAAUCGCGGAUCAGAACGCCGCGGUGAAUACGUUCCCGGGCCUU
rnacentral:rRNA from 1 species